ensembl:lncRNA
AUUUUUUUUUUUUUUUUUACUGAUUUUGUUUAUCAAUAUACAUGCAUAAAUACUUUUUUUUUUUUUUUUUUACUGAUUUUGUUUAUCAAUAUACAUGCAUAAAUACUUUUUUUUUAACUGAUUUAAGUGUUACAGGCCAAAAGAGAAAAAAAGUGUAUGAGCAUAUUGGUAACCUCGACCGGUUAAGCAAAAAAGGCAGGAAAGUCAUUGGCUAGCCUUGUUAGGUGCUGACUAAGACUGUAGAUGAGCCAUUAAGUGUUUGAAGUGUUACAGGCCAAAAUAGAAAAAAAUAGUACUUUUUUUUUUUUACUGAUUUUGUUUAUUAAUACACAUGCAUAAAUACUUUUUUUUUUUUUUUUUUACUGAUUUAAGUGUUACAGACCAAAAUAGAAAAAAUUUGUAUGAGCAUAUUGGUAACCUCGACCGGUUAAGCAAAAAAGGAAGGAAAGCCAUUGGCUAGCCUUGUUAGGUGCUGACUAAGACUGUAGAUGAGCCAUUAAGUGUUUGAAGUGUUACAGGCCAAAAGAGAAAAAAAUAGUACUUUUUUUUUUUUAACUGAUUUUGUUCAUCAAUAUACAUGCAUGAAUACUUUUUUUUUUUAACUGAUUUAAGUGUUACAGGCCAAAAGAGAAAAAGAUUGUAUGAGCCAAUGUAACCUCGACCGGUUAAGCAAAAAAGGCAGGAAAGUCAUUGUUAGGUACUGACUAAGACUGUAGAUGAGCCAUUAAGUGUUUGAAGUGUUACAGGCCAAAAUAGAAAAAAAUAGUACUUUUUUUUUUUUUAACUGAUUUUGUUUAUCAAUAUACAUGCAUAAAUACUUUUUUUUUUUUUACUGAUUUUGUUCAUCAAUAUAGAUGCAUGAAUACUUUUUUUUUUUUUUUUAACUGAUUUAAGUGGUACAGGCCAAAAGAGAAAAAAAUAGUACUUUUUUUUUUUUAACUGAUUUUGUUUAUCAAUAUACAUGCAUAAAUACUUUUUUUUUUAACUGAUUUGUCCUCGGCGACUCUAACAAAGGAAAUCUCACCCGCGAACUCCCCAAAUACAGACAAUAUAUUAAAUGCCCGACCAGAGAGGAGAACAUUCUGGAUCACUGCUACACCACAGUUAGCAGUGCCUAUCAUGCCGUCCCCCGGGCUGCACUGGGACACUCUGACCACGUCAUGGUCCAUUUGAUCCCUGCAUACAGGCAGAAAUUAAAACUCUGCAAACCUGUUGUGAGGACAUCUAAGCAGUGGACCAGUGAAGCUGUAGAGGAUCUUCAGGCGUGCUUGGACUGUACUGAUUGGGAUGUCUUCAAGACCGCUACCAACAGUCUGGAUGAGUACACAGAAGCUGUGACAUCAUAUAUCAGCUUCUGUGAGGACAGCUGUUUACCAUCACGCACCAGGGUGAGUUAUAACAACGACAAACCCUGGUUCACAGCUAAACUCAGAAAGUUAA